rnacentral:rRNA from 1 species
GAGUUUGAUCUUGGCUCAGAUUGAACGCUGGCGGCAUGCUUUACACAUGCAAGUCGAACGGCAGCGCGGGCUUCGCCUGGCGGCGAGUGGCGAACGGGUGAGUAAUAUAUCGGAACGUACCCAGGGGUGGGGGAUAACGUAGCGAAAGUUACGCUAAUACCGCAUACGCUCUAUGGAGGAAAGCAGGGGACCGCAAGGCCUUGCGCGCUUGGAGCGGCCGAUAUCUGAUUAGCUAGUUGGUGGGGUAAAGGCUCACCAAGGCAACGAUCAGUAGCUGGUCUGAGAGGACGACCAGCCACACUGGGACUGAGACACGGCCCAGACUCCUACGGGAGGCAGCAGUGGGGAAUUUUGGACAAUGGGGGCAACCCUGAUCCAGCAAUGCCGCGUGAGUGAAGAAGGCCUUCGGUUGUAAG